rnacentral:rRNA from 1 species
UGGGGAAUAUUGGGCAAUGGGCGCAAGCCUGACCCAGCAACGCCGCGUGAAGGAAGAAGGCUUUCGGGUUGUAAACUUCUUUUGUCAGGGACGAGCAGAAGACGGUACCUGACGAAUAAGCCACGGCUAACUACGUGCCAGCAGCCGCGGUAAUACGUAGGUUGCAAGCGUUGUCCGGAUUUACUGGGUGUAAAGGGCGUGUAGGCGGAGGGGCAAGUCAGAUGUGAAAUCCCGGGGCUUAACCCCCAAGCUGCAUUUGGAACUGUCAAGCUAGAGUAUCGGAGAGGUAAGUGGAAUUCCUAGUGUAGCGGUGAAAUGCGUAGAUAUUAGGAGGAACACCAGUGGCGAAGGCGGCUUGCUGGACGACAACUGACGCUGAGGCGCGAAAGCGUGGGGAGCAAACAGG